AGAAGUCGUAACAAGGUUACCGUAGGUGAACCUGCGGUAGG
rnacentral:rRNA from 1 species